UCUGCCGGACACUCUCGCGGGAUGUCGUUGGCCAGGGUGGCGGGGCCCGGUCUGGGGAGCGCGCUGCGCGUCUCGGGCCCUGCUUGCCACGCUCUGGAAUUUCCGCUUUGUGAGAAAGCCCACGUGGCUUCCCAGACAGGCCGAGACCACGUCCUCGCGCAGCCGCGGCCCCGAGGACGUCUUCGCAGAACACGGCGCCCCACGGGUUCCUGUCAGACUUGCUCAUCCCGUCCAGCUGAUCGGGUCUCCCAUUCACGAGUCCCGCAAGAUGACGGAGGGCCUCCCCUGUGGUCCCCGCUCACCGCGACCCGCUGUGCGUCUUAACUGUUCACGGCUUUGCUCCCUUUCUCUUGGGCUGUUUGGGUUUUCUUACGCUUCCAGAAAUCACGUACUCACAAAACACCGGGGGGGGGGGGGGUCCUUUGGAAUUCGUGUCCGUUACAAACAUCUUUAUUGCUAAGAAUACCGUCCUGUGUAUUUGACAAGGAGAAAGGUCUGUGACUCAGUGCGGUGACGGACACGGAUAAACCCGUGGCGGCGGUGCGCGUGUAUAAAUGCCCUCACCGAAGCGUCGGGUCGCCCGCCGUCCACGGUAUCCUGUCGACUCGAUCCCAAGCAAACGUGUCCCCCGGCAGCGGCCCGCAUUUCCGCACGGUGGUUUUAAUGAAUGUAAGUUUUCUUUUUUGAUCAAUCUUUUUAUACUUAAGUCCUCUCUUAUGACAAGAUCACAGAAAUAAGUAUCAGCUAUUUUCACCCAGAAAUUGCACUGUUUAUAUUUCUGCUCAAAUCUGUGUCUUCUCUUAUUUUCAUGGGUUUCAGGCUCUUGCUUUCUCUAAGUGGGACACUCGCCUCCUUAAUGUUCCUUCUUUUCUGCUGUUGAGGCCGCAUGCUGCCCUCCUGACCCCGGCCAGGCCCCGGGCGUCUGUGCCUCACGAGCCGCAGUCCUUGCCCUCGGGGAACUCGGGAGGCCUUGGAGGCGCGCGGGCCAGGCGGCCACUCACGGCGGCUGCCGGAGUCAGGGGGGUGGGGCUCUCAGGCGCUGUCCCAUAGGGUGCGGGUCAGAUGCACCCGUGUCUGCCUGCUGUGUCCGGGUUCUCGGCCACCCUCCGCAGAGGCUGGGCCUGUCUCUGGCCCCACACCCCUGCCUUGUAGACAAAGCAGUUUCCUGAAGGAAGCAUCUGGAACAAUUUCUUGCUGUGCUCCAAACGGGGUUUCCAGAAUCUUCUGGGCUUGCUGGUGGGCUCCCAGGAGGACUUUCUCAGGCAUGUGACGCUAUAGCUCGUGGUUCUCCAGUGCCUCUGAGGAGCACAAGAAGAUACUCUGUGACCCCAGGGACCACGUGGCUCUGUCGGGUUCUGUGUGUUGGAGGAGGCCUGGGAUUGGAUCUGCCCUGAAGAGCUCCUCUUUGUCCAUGGGCCUCGCAGCAGCACAGAAGCACGAGACCCCACCCCAGUCUUGGGACCCAGGUGGACACGUGACCUCCAGAGGGGGGUCAGAGUGUGGCUCAGGAAAGGACUCGUGUGGCUCUGAUACACCUGCUUCCUCACUGGCCAGCGGAGGUUUCAGAAUGCAAGUCAGCCGUGUCGGGGAACGGAGCGUGGAGCUUUCUGUCCCAGGGUCACAGACAGAAGAAACACAGCUCUGUGAGGGCACGUCCAGGAAACAGGCUGUCUGCCCUUGUCCAUUCAUGAGCGAGUGCGUGCGGGAUGAAGGAAGCAGGGCCAGGACGCGCUCGCCUGUCCCCACGGUUGGGCCAGCGUCCAUGGGCCAGCGGCCACUGUCAGUGUGUCCCACAUGCUGGGAAGGCCCUGCGAGCAGAGGCUUCUAUGUGUCCACGUGGACCCCAACUCCAGUGUCUCACGAGGGGUGGCAGCUCCGUCCUGGGGACCCACAACCAGGAGCCGGCAUGUGUCAAAGACUGGACGUGGUUUGAUGACAAGCCUGUGGACUGAGAAGCCCGAGGCUGUAGGAGAACCACUUGGACUGGGCAGGCAGCAAGAAGGGGACAGCAGAUUCCCAGUGGGACCUCUCCCCAGGAUGGGGAUGGCUCAGCGAGGUGCCCCCUGCUCGUUGGCCAUCAGGGCCCACAUCAGGAGGCCCCUCGGGAAAUGGCAGGGCUCUCAGACCUCCUUCCCAGACCCUGGGAUCCAUGCCCGGGUCAGGCUCGUCAGCCCAAAUUCCCCUCCUCCUGGAACCACAGAGCGUGACCUGACCUGACAGAAGGGAGCCCAGGAGCUCUGGGAGGCUGGGAGGACCCGUGGCCACACCUGGAUUCAGACCUCUGCCUCCGGGGCUGGGAGCCAGCUGGGUUGGUGUGGAAGGCCCCAGCCUGUGGCACUUUGUGGCAACGAGCCCAGGGGUGGUGCCGGCGGGCUUUGGACCACACAGCCCGGAUUUGCGCUGACCCACCAGCCGCCCCCGUGGGACCUCCCUGGGCCUUCACGGUGCUUUGCUGCUCCCUCCAGACCCCCCUGUGGACUCAGGGCACCCUCAGCAUGGCCUGUGGGUCUGAGGCACACAGUUCCAGGAGGGUGUACAGGGUUUCAGCGAAGAAGCCAGUGCUUGGGGUCUGCGGCGGGGGCACCGCGCCGCCUUCCCGAGGCUUUCCUCACGGCGCCCGGCCUCUUCAGCAACACCCCUCUGUCCAGCUGAGAGGGGACUGCCCCCCUGUGGGCCCCAGGUCCCAGGGAGUGGAGGGUGUCACGGGAGUGUCCCCCAGGGCUCUUCCCCUCCUCUGGGCCUCCUCAGCGGCCACGCGGGAUAGGGCCACAAGGCCCAGGAGGCCUGAGGUGGUUGGGGGCCUCUGGGACCAUGCAGGGGUCAGCCUAAGGCACCCCACCCCUUCUGAGCUCCCAGGGGGUGCUGAGGACCCAGAAGCCAAGUCAGGGAUCAGAGUCGGGGGGUCCACGGCAGCACUCCGAGGCCCUCCUGGCGAGGCCUGCAGAAGUUCUCUCCGUCCGGGAGCCUGUCCCAGCGCCUCCCCGGCCUCUCGUGAGGCCGGCUGGGGACACGGGUCGAGGCCAGCCUUCUCAGCUCCCUUGCUCGGCCUCUGCUUGUCCCCCGCUCCACAGUAUAGUCCCACGGCCCCUUGUCCCCCGCUCGCAGAAGACCUGGAGGCUGGGGAGAACCCCGCGUGUGUGCACCUACUACGUGCUAAGGCAGCGUGAAGCAGGGGAGCCCCAGCCCCUGCUGACCACAACAGGAGAGGCGUCUUCUUGCCCUGGGGCCCCCAGGCCUAAACACAGCCAUGGCCCCCUGGAGUCACCAGGCCGGCCUUCCGUGCUCUCCGGCCAGGCCACUUCUGAGCCACGGUUCUGUGGGCCGCAGCCGCCGGGCCCAGGGCAUUGGUGAGCAAGCCUGCCCGGGAUGUGGCCCUGGGCCACAUGACCACCCUCUCACCCCUGCCCAGCAACCAGGCGUGCACACGACCCCACACACCCUGUGGCGGCUGUGGUCAGGAGACUCUCUGGGCAGCGGGUGGCUCUGACUCCUUCCCAGGCUGGUGGUCUUUCUCCUGACCCCUCGGAGGACCAGGGCCCUGGAAGGGGUAGGGGUGUCCCAGGCCACCUCUGAGGGAGCAGUCCACAGCAGCAGAUGGUCACAGAGCACAGGAGCCCAGGCUGGCAUCCAUCAGCUCCCAGCAGCUCCAUUGACUGGCCCCGUGCUGGGGAGCAGGCAAGCCAGGUGGCUGACAGACGCAAAGGUUGCUGCUGAUGGAUACUGAGCUGCCAGAAUGCCACAGGGCCGCGGGACGCAGGAGCUCAGCUCACCGAAGAUCGAAUGGCUCGUCGAUCGCCGGCAGGAGCCCCCCAGGAGCUCUAGAGCUCAGAGCAGAUGCCAGACACACGCUCCCCCGGGAAGGUCAGAUCCUCGGCCUGCGGACAGCCCAGACAGGCCUGAGGGGGAGCCCCGAGGAGCCCCACGUGAUCGCUCCGGGACUGGGGUCCCGGGACACAGCCCAGCUGGAGACAGACGUGGCCCUGGGGCUGUAACCAGAGCGGUGAGGGCCAGGUCGUCCUGGAGCAGUGGCUCUCCACGGCUCUCUGGAAGGAGAGAGCAGUGUUGGGUCAUUGAGGGGGACGAGCGCACAUCAGGGGCGGCCGCAGACUGGGUGCCUCAACCCCCUUCGGCUAUGUCAGAAAGCAAAUGGGCAGGAGGGAAGCGGGAAGCUUCUGCUCACAGAUGUCCACACCCCCCAGGUCCUCGAGGCCUCUGACCACCCAGGAGGACGCUCGGGAAACACACCGGUGCGCGAACACACACAUCCACAAACACACAAGUGUCCACACACACACGGCCCUUCCGCGUGGGAGCGCAUAAACACACACAAACGCGCACACACCCUGAACAAAGCCACUCGGGCCUGUAAAAGUCCUUCAUCCUGAAGAAGAGCGAAUGGGCUCUGGGCCGCCCCGUCUGCUGAACGUCCACCUGUGGCGCAGGUCGGGGUCCUGGGGUCCUGGGGUGGAGCCUGGCCGAGCGGGGAGCAGGCUUCUCCCUCUCCCGCUCCCCCUGCUUCUGCUCCCUCGAUCUCUCUCUCACACAAAUAAACAAAAUCUAAAAAAAUUAACAAAAUUAAUGAAAAUAUAGAAUGUAACAAUCAAGAAGAAGACAGAAGACAUUCUUUACUAAAGAUGUUCUAACAGAGAAUGCGAAUGUCGACGUGUCUGCUCUGAGUUCUCGUUCAGAAUCCAGGAUCAACGUGCGGGAGAGGCAAGAGAGAAGGAACAGACCGAGUCGAGCAAGACAAGACUUUCGCAGGCGAGCGGCCGCCGCACUGACGGGGGAGCGAAGAGAUUCCGACAGAAAGGAGGCAACGGGCAGAUCCCAGCGAAACUGGACGGAAACCGGAGGCGGGGACUGUGCUUUAGAGGCGGCGGAGAACGUGCAUCCCUGCUUCCCAGCGCGGCCCCGAGCGGGCGCCCGACGGAGGACACAGCGAUGAUGGAUUUCAAUUUCAAUUUUAAAAAAUCGUAGUGAGUUUUAAAACCAAUGAUAUGUUGAAUGAAUCCAAAUAAUUGUGUUUUGUGAUAAAGCGUCAAAGACAAUUCUUAAAAAAAAAAUCACAUCACAUAAUAAUUAUAAGUGAAAAGUAUACAGCAUUAAAACGAAUCUGGACCUCUAGAAAAUCUGGUUGAUUUUCUAAGAAAAUGUGCUUUUCCAAAAUUGCCUUAAGAGGAAAUUUGAAAAAGUUUAACAGGUGAACACACAUGGAUCGAGUGUGAAAGUUCCCAGGAGAAUUUCUCCCGUAAGCGGCGGCAGCAGAACGACACAGUCUUAUGGGGGUGAACAACAGGUCCUCUCAAUGUCAUACAAGAUGAAAACUGAUAUAAAUAUAUAUGUGUAAGUGAAAAAAAUAUAUAUGUGGAAAAAGCCAUAUAUAUGUAUGUGAAUAUUUUCUCAGGGGUGCCUGGCUGGCUCAGUUGACGAAGUGUGUGACUCUUGAUCUCAGGAUCAUGAGUUCAAGCCCCAUGUUGGGCGUGGAGCCGACUUAAGAAAAGAGAUCCUCGUUAGUAUAGUGGUCGUGGCCUCAGGGUCCUGGGAUCGAGCCCCGCAUCGGGCUCUCGGCUCCGCGGGGACCCUGCUUCCCCCCGCCCCCUGCCUACUUGUGAUCCCUGUUUGUCAAAUAAAUAAAUAAAAUCUUUAAAGAAAGAAAGAAAGGAAAUCUUCCAAAUUAAUUUUAUGAAUCUAGUUUAACCCUGACACUGAAAUUUGGCAAAGACAACAUUAAAGAAAAACGAUGGUGGAGAGCCUGGGUGAGCCUCAGUUGGUUAAGUGUCCGACUCUUGAUCUUACCUCAGAUCACGAUCUCAGGGUCCUGGGAUCGGGCCCCACACCAGGCUCCAGCUUAGGAUCCUCCCUCUGCCUCUGCCUCUGCCUCUGCCCUUCACCUCAUUCUCUAAAUAAAAUAAAAUAAGGAAAAGAAAAGAAAAAAAGAAAAU